rnacentral:rRNA from 1 species
ACUUAAGCAUAUCAAUAAGCGGAGGAAAAGAAACCAACAGGGAUUGCCCUAGUAACGGCGAGUGAAGCGGCAACAGCUCAAAUUUGAAAGCUGGCCUUCGGGUCCGCGUUGUAAUUUGCAGAGGAAGCUUUGGGCGCGGCGCUGUCUGAGUCCCCUGGAACGGGGCGCCAAAGAGGGUGAGAGCCCCGUAUAGACGGAUGCCUAGCCUGUGUAAAGCUCCUUCGACGAGUCGAGUAGUUUGGGAAUGCUGCUCAAAAUGGGAGGUAAAUUUCUUCUAAAGCUAAAUACCGGCCAGAGACCGAUAGCGCACAAGUAGAGUGAUCGAAAGAUGAAAAGCACUUUGAAAAGAGGGUUAAAUAGCACGUGAAAUUGUUGAAAGGGAAGCGCUUGUGACCAGACUUGCGCCGGGCUGAUCAUCCGGUGUUCUCACCGGUGCACUCUGCCCGGCUCAGGCCAGCAUCGGUUCUCGCGGGGGGAUAAAGGCUUAGGGAAUGUAGCUCCUCCGGGAGUGUUAUAGCCCUCUGCGUAAUACCCUCGCGGGGACAACGAGGUCUGCGCUCUGUCAAGGAUGCU